GUGUGGAUUUGAUUGCUAGCUCUGCCUGAUGUUGCAGAAAUGAAGGGAACAAUACUUGCAAAAGUUAGUUUAAUGUUGGAAAUUUAUCAGCCCUGAAGUUGCAUCUCCAAGGCUACCUCUGUUAAGAUACUGAAGUA